ACGGGGCGGCCGCCGCUGCGGGACGCGCGGAGCGGAGCGCACCGAGAGCGCCGGCGGCAGCAGCAGCAGCAGCAGCAGCAGGAGGAGGACGGCGAGGAGGAGGAGGAAGGAGGAGGAGUUUCCCCCAGGAAUUCCUGCAGACCCCUCCCUGCCACCAGCCUGCACGGCCUCGUCUCCAGCAAAACCCCGGCCUCGCACCCCGAAGCCAACGCCAGCGCUUUCUCCAACCUUGCAGCUGGAAAGAACGAGCGGGACCCUGCAGAAAAGCGGCUGCGAGGGGCUUAGUGCACGCUUCAGCGCCCCGUGGCAGCAGGGAAGCAGAGCCCUGCUACGAAGAGGAGCCUCAGAAGAGAGGCUGCAGGAUGCAGGCAGCCUCCAGCCCCUCAGGACUUGCAGUUGAACCACGGUUUGGGGCAGCCCAGCCUGGAGCCAGCCUCUUCCCUUAGCAUCUGUCUCAGUCAAAACGCCGAGCUCCCCCCCGUGCCACCCGAAACGGAGGCCGUGAGCCCAGACUCCCUCUGAUUUAAAUAAAAAACUCAGGCUCUGGCUGCCUUUGGCUACACGUGAAUGCGUUGCUCGGGCUGGAAGGUGCAGCUCGCACACCGACGGCUCCUUCCAGAACGCCGCCGGUACAUUAAUCACUAAUGCUUGCUAUGCAAAUCUUGUCAUGCCGAGCAAUUAUUGCGGUGCCCAUCCUGACCUCAUGUUUAUUUAUUGCAGGAGCUCUUUCUUUGAACCUCGCCUGGGCUCCCUCACCGUAAGCCUGUUAGCGUGGGGCUUCCGAAAGCAGCCGGCUGAGAAAUUGCAGCUUUACGGUGCAGCUCCGUUUGGUGGCCAGGGUGUCCUUAAGCCCCAAAUAUUCUCUUGCCACAGGAGUUUUCUCCAUGUGAUUUAAUAUUGAGCAACAGUGGCAUCCGGUGGGCAGCGGGCUGCCUCCCGAGCAGCUGGCAGCAGCACGCUCCCUCUGUUUCGUCAUACGCUUUCUCUAGGUGCUUAUUAAAUACAAGUUCUACUUUUAUCCAAAUUUCAAGGUCUUUUUCACCCAAAAGCUUACACACUCCAGCCUAUCUGAAACAUCUCCCCCCGCUCCACGUAAUUCCCUUUUAUUGUACUCCUGUAGCUUUUGCUAAUUGUUCAUGGGAUGACAUUUUUUCCUAAAGUAAUAUUCUUGAGAGGUUAAAUUAAAAAGGGGCCAUAAAUGAUUUCAAAGACCAAUGGUAAUUAAUAAAAAUGAAGCAAUAAUUGGGCAAAUAAUUGGGCAAUAUCUUUAAAUGUGUAUGCCUAGGGUCCAGCUCCUAAAUCCACAUUUCAUUUAGAGCAGCCUGGGAUUUUUUUUUCUCCCCUGAAAGAGGGCAGGACACAAAGAAAAGGAUGGGAAAUACUGUAAUCGGUGGGGAAACCUCCAAAAGUCCUGAGGGAUUAGUGAUGGGAGGGCAGGGAGCUUGCUGCUGCCUCCUUCCCACGCUGAGGUUUGCGGGGCUGAUGGACACCUCACUGCUGGCAAGCAGCACAGGGAACCUAUGGAGCACCACUGGGCACCUGAGCCCCGUGGCAUCCACAGGAAGCAGACGUUUAAGGGCAGGACGGUUACGCUAAAAAAUAAAAAUAGAAGCAAUAAAAGUCUUCUGUGGC